rnacentral:rRNA from 1 species
UACAGAGGGGGCAAGCGUUGUUCGGAAUUACUGGGCGUAAAGGGCGCGUAGGCGGCCUUCUAAGUCGGACGUGAAAUCCCUCGGCUUAACCGAGGAACUGCGUCCGAUACUGAAAGGCUUGAAUCCGGGAGAGGGAUGUGGAAUUCCAGGUGUAGCGGUGAAAUGCGUAGAUAUCUGGAGGAACACCGGUGGCGAAGGCGGCAUCCUGGGCCAACACUGACGCUGAGUGAGCGAAAGCGUGGGUAGCAAACAGG